CCGCUGGCCGGAGGAGAGGAAGGCGGCGGCGAUCUGGAGCCCAGCGUCAGAGACAGGUCGACGACGAAGCCGUCUUCUUCGACGAUGUGAAGAGAAGAGGUGUCCUCCAUUAACCAGAGAGGCAAAACAAAGCCCUUGUAGGUAAUUUGAUCACCUUGUGCUGGCACUUGUCAAAUGAGAUGGUGGUGGUGCUUCCAUGAACUGAGCUGAGCUCAGCUGUGUGUGUGAGCAAUGGAUGACGAUGAGUGAGUGAUCAAGUGAGGAAGGAGGCUGUUUAUAGGUGGGUGGAUGGACAAGGGAGCUUCAGCAGAAAUGGGAAG
rnacentral:lncRNA from 1 species